CCCCUCCAUACCCACCCACUCGCUUCUUUUCCCAACCCCCACGUUGCCUCAGGGGGAGGGGGCUUUGGGGCACUGGGACCCCCAAAGAGGCAGCUCUGACCCUAUUAGGGGCACUGGGACCCCCCCCCCUCAGGGGUGGCUCUGACCCUAUGGGACCCCCCCCCAGGGGCAGCUCUGACCCUAUUAGGGGCACUGGGACCCCCAAAGGGGCAGUUCUGUCCCUAUAUGGGGCACUGGGACCCCCAAAGGGGCAGUUCUGUCCCUAUAUGGGGCACUGGGACCCCCAAAGGGGCAGUUCUGUCCCUAUAUGGGGCACUGGGACCCCCAAAGGGGCAGUUCUGACCCUAUUAGGGACACUGGGACCCCCAAAGGGGCAGUUCUGACCCUAUUAGGGACACUGGGACCCCCAAAGGGGCAGCUCUGACCCUAUUAGAGGCACUGGGACCCCCAAAGGGGCAGUUCUGUCCCUAUAUGGGACACAGGGACCCCCCCCCAGGGGCAGCUCUGUCCCUAUUAGGGGCAAUGGGAACCCCAAAGGGGCAGCUCUGACCCUAUUAGGGGCAAUGGGACCCCCAAAGGGGCAGCUCUGACCCUAUUAGGGGGUCUCUGUCCCUAUUAGGGGCAAUAGGACCUCCCCAGAUGCAGUUCUGUCCCUAUUAGGGGCUUUAAGACCCCCCCAGGAGCAGUUCUGUCCCUAUUAGGGGGUCUCUGUCCCUAUUAGGGGUAAUGGGACCCCCCCCAUUGGCAGCUCUGUCCCUAUAUGGGACACAGGGACCCCCCCAGGGGCAGUUCAGUCCUUAUUUGGGGCCCUUUUACCCCCCCCCCCCCCGGGGCAGUUCUGCCCCUAUUUAUUUGGGGGCUCUGUUACCCCCCCAGGGCAGUUAAGGGCUCUAUUUACACCCCCCCCCCCCCCCCGGAGCUCAGUCGACCCCCCCAGGGGCAGUUCCAGCCCCUUUUUCCCCCAAGGGGGGGCAAUUAUCCCAUGGGGGGUCACACUGCACCCCCUUGGGCCCACUGGGGGUCUCUACAUCACUGCACCCUAUGGUGGUGGGGGGGGGGGGGGGGCAUUGGGGGCUGUGUCGUCCCCCCCCCCCCCCAAGGGGCAGUUAUGGGCCUUAUUUACCCCCCCCCGGGGCAAAUUUCUUACCCCCCCCAUAGGGUACAUGGGGGCAAUUAGGACCUCCCUUUGCCCCCCGCCAGGGGCAAAUACAGCUUCAACCCCCCCCACAGUGAGAAUGGAGGGGGGGGGGCACUUUAAUAGGGGCGGGGGGGGGGGGG
ensembl:lncRNA